UACGAAGGGGGCUAGCGUUGCUCGGAAUCACUGGGCGUAAAGCGCACGUAGGCGGCUUCUUAAGUCAGGGGUGAAAUCUUGGAGCUCAACUCCAGAACUGCCUUUGAUACUGAGGAGCUUGAGUCCGGGAGAGGUGAGUGGAACUGCGAGUGUAGAGGUGAAAUUCGUAGAUAUUCGCAAGAACACCAGUGGCGAAGGCGGCUCACUGGCCCGGUACUGACGCUGAGGUGCGAAAGCGUGGGGAGCGAACAGG
rnacentral:rRNA from 1 species